AGUGAACGCUGGCGGUAGGCCUAACACAUGCAAGUCGAACGGCAGCACAGUAAGAGCUUGCUCUUACGGGUGGCGAGUGGCGGACGGGUGGGGAAUACAUCGGAAUCUACUUUUUCGUGGGGGCUAACGUAGGGAAACUUACGCUAAUACCGCAUACGACCUACGGGUGAAAGCGGGGGAUCUUCGGACCUUGCGCGAUUGAAUGAGCCGAUGUCGGAUUAGCUAGUUGGCGGGGUAAAGGCCCACCAAGGCGACGAUCCGUAGCUGGUCUGAGAGGAUGUUCAGCCACACUGGAACUGAGACACGGUCCAGACUCCUACGGGAGGCAGCAGUGGGGAAUAUUGGACAAUGGGCGCAAGCCUGAUCCAGCCAUACCGCGUUGGUGAAGAAGGCCUUCGGGUUGUAAAGCCCUUUUGUUGGGAAAGAAAAGCAGCAGGUUAAUACCCCGCUGUUCUGACGGUACCCAAAGAAUAAGCACCGGCUAACUUCGUG
rnacentral:rRNA from 1 species